AAAAGAAAAAACAAAUAAAAGAUUUUCAAGUUUUAUUCAGAAAGAUGAGUCCAUGCAAGACCGCAGCGUUCUGCUUCAUGAUCCUCUUCGUCUCCUCUGUCUUGAUUGAUGAGAGCUCGGCGUGUGGAGAAGUGCUCGGCUCGUGUGGGAAAAUAGACUGCAAUAAAGAGUGCCAUUCAAAGCAUGGACCAAAGGCAGUUGCUCACUGCGACCGCGGCGGCAAGGCGGGCACUUGCAUCUGCGGCUACCCCUGCCCGGCUCAUCAUUGAAUGGCUCAUGCUUUCAUGUUUUAAAAACAAAAAUAUCAUUUGGUAAUCACAAUGAUGAAAAUAAAUAUUUUACAGAACCUAUAAAUCAAGUUUAUCA